rnacentral:rRNA from 1 species
AGUGAACGCUGGCGGCAGGCCUAACACAUGCAAGUCGAACGGCAGCAGAGUACUUGCUUCUUCUUACGGGGGGGGAGGGGCGGGUGAUGCCGGGAAAUAUCCGAAUUUGUGGGGGCGAAGGGCAGGACGGAGGGAAACUUACGCUAAUACCGCAGACGACGUACGGGGGGAAUCAGUGGAUCUUCGGACUUUGCGCGAUCGAAGGUGGGGAUGUCGGAUUGGCUGGUUGGCGGGGUAAAGGCCCACCAAGCCGACGAUCGGUAACUGGUCUGAGAGGAUGAUCAGCCACACUGGAACUGAGACACGGUCCAGACUCCUACGGGAGGCAGCAGUGGGGAAUAUUGGACAAUGGGCGAAAGCCUGAUCCAGCCAUGCCGCGUAGGUGAAGAAGGUCUUCGGGUUGUAAAGCCCUUUGGUUGGGAAGGAAGAGCAGCAGGUUAAUACCUUGCUGUUUUGACGGUACCUAAAGAAUAAGCACCGGCUAACUUCGUG